AUUAGCUCAUCAACAAAUUUCGAACUUGUUACCUAAAAGCUUCAGGUCGAGC
rnacentral:tRNA from 1 species